UACAGUCAUUGCUGUUCCAGGUUCAGGUCUGUCUACAGCUGCUGUAGCAGGAAUAGUUAUUGUUGUUCUGCUGAUGGCUGCUGCAGUAACUGGUGUGUUUUACUGUCACCGCAGGAGCCAUACACCAGUACCACAGAUUGAUGAAGAUGUUAAUCCACAGAGUGGAAUCCAAAAGAGCUUUUAGUGGCACAGAACAUCCUUGAAUCAGACUCAGGCCGAGGCUGCCAAUAAAACAAAGUAACAUCAUUUAUAAUUUUGAUACUUUUAUUGAAAGGGACACUAAAGAGAAUUAAGAAAUAAAUUAAACAUAACAACAUGUUAUGGAACAGCAAGGGCUAUUUAUUAGAGGUUUAUUAAAGCUGCUAAAGUGAUUCAGACGGGAACAGUGAGACAUUAUCUAUUUCUUGUCUUUGCACUAUAACUGAUACCUGGUUUGACAUUUCAGUUAUGUUGGUCUUGCCUUGCAUAUAUUCACUAGUUGCCGACAGAAUGGGCUGUGUUUUUACAAUUACCUCACCAAGGAUUUUUCUCCUCACACACAGUCUUAUUCUGGAGGACAGUCGGCUCUAUUGUUACUGUCAAUGGUUUAACUGGUAUUGUUGCUGUUUCUGGGAAAGAUUGUAUCAUUACAUUGGUAAUGUUUAUGAUUUAAACAACACUGUUUUUAGUCAUCAACCUUCAUCAGAAAACACUUUCCUUCCGCUACAUUAGAACCAAAACCAGCCUUAAUAAGGUUGGAAAUCCGUUGAUUUGUUGGUGAAAAACUUUGCUGAGAGUAUUAAUGAUGUUCAGUGCCUGUAACUGGAAGAUACAUGAUACAGACUGUGGUAAAUGUUGUUAUUUAAGCUUGGAAAAUGUUUAAUGUGUUGUUUGUCAGGAGGAAUGUUACAGAAUAAUCAACACGGUGAGUGUGAUUUCACCAAGUAC